CCUACGGGUGGCAGCAGUGGGGAAUAUUGCACAAUGGGCGCAAGCCUGCUGCAGCCAUGCCGCGUGUGUGAAGAAGGCCUUCGGGUUGUAAAGCACUUUCAGCGGGGAGGAAGGCGGUGAGGUUAAUAACCUCAUCGAUUGACGUUACCCGCAGAAGAAGCACCGGCUAACUCCGUGCCAGCAGCCGCGGUAAUACGGAGGGUGCAAGCGUUAAUCGGAAUUACUGGGCGUAAAGCGCACGCAGGCGGUCUGUCAAGUCGGAUGUGAAAUCCCCGGGCUCAACCUGGGAACUGCAUUCGAAACUGGCAGGCUAGAGUCGUGUAGAGGGGGGUAGAAUUCCAGGUGUAGCGGUGAAAUGCGUAGAGAUCUGGAGGAAUACCGGUGGCGAAGGCGGCCCCCUGGACAAAGACUGACGCUCAGGUGCGAAAGCGUGGGGAGCAAACAGGAGUAGAUACCCGAGUAGUC
rnacentral:rRNA from 1 species